AAAUGUGAUUAAAAUAACUUUGGAGGAGUUGUAGAUGGAAAGUAACAAGUGACUUCUCCUUUAUUUGUUUAUUUUCACAUCUUGGGUUUUAAGCCGUCACUGUAAUUCAACCACGCCCCUCAUUCAUCCUCCUUCCUCCUUGCGAUGGAUUCCAAAUCUGAAAGCCAGAGAACUCUGUAUCCGUAUGUAACUGGAUCAUCCGUCGUUGCUAUCAAAUUCAAAGAUGGGAUUCUUAUGGCUGCUGAUAUGGGAGGUUCGUAUGGAUCUACGCUGCGUUACAAGAGUGUUGAGCGUUUGAAGCCUAUUGGAAAGCACUCCCUUCUUGGUGCUAGUGGGGAAAUAAGUGACUUUCAGGAGAUUAUGCGCUAUCUUGAUGAGCUUAUCCUUAAUGACAACAUGUGGGAUGACGGGAAUUCUUUAGGGCCUAAGGAGGUGCACAACUAUUUAACUAGGGUGAUGUAUAAUAGGCGUAACAAGUUCAAUCCAUUGUGGAACUCACUUGUUCUUGGUGGUAUUAAAAAGGGGCAGAAGUACCUUGGCACGGUUAACAUGAUUGGCAUUAAUUAUGAGGACAACCAUGUGGCAACUGGGCUUGGAAAUCAUCUUGCUAGGCCAAUUCUCCGUGAUGAGUGGAACGAAAACUUGUCAUUCGAAGAAGGUGUCAGGUUACUUGAAAAAUGCAUGCGAGUGCUUUUAUACCGUGAUAGGUCUGCUGUCAACAAGAUUCAGGUGAAUUUUGCUGGUUGUAGUGCGUUUGCCGGAUGGUGUUACGGUUCGGUUGCGUUUUCCGUAUGGCAUUUUGGUUCAGCUUUCUGCGUUCGAAUUGCGUACUUCCAUUUACCGGCAUUGCCGUUUGUUUCGGCAGCAUUGCAGCUUCGAUGUUGCGGUUCCGAGCUUGUAUUGCAGGCUCUGUUUUCUUUGGAGGCCUGUGCAUGUUGCAGUGGCUGCAACUUAUGCCCAUGCCAUUAUGUCGCGUUUGUAUGUCAUGAUGCUUGCUACUUGCGGAGUAUUCGGUACUAAACUUCAUACUGGAAGCAAAUUAAAACUGCUGAUGUCAACUACAAGUGUUCUCAUUGCUAACUGCUAAUGGUAAAUUAGAAAACUCCCACAAAAUCCAAAUCAAAAGAUAAUGCGAUUCCACGGCAUACCGAGUCCACGAUUUCAAGAAAAGAGUGUCCUCAACAACGUAAUCAAAUAGAUUGCGGGUAUUUCAUGUUGAGGUUUAUGCGAGAUACUCUUGCUUUGGGCCGAUUAAAGAUUCCCACCGAUUACUUUGAUGAAUUCAAGUGUGCAUUUUAUACAAAGGAUCAAGUGGACGAAAUCAAAGAGGAGUGGUGUCAAUUCAUGAUAAAGCUCAAUGUUUGUUCAUAAAUUUGUGUAAUUAAUGUGUACAUUUGUAGUAUAUGUUAUGACUUGUAAAUGUGUACAUAAAUUUGUAUAUAUUUUGAUACAUUUAAGGCAAAAUUGGUUUGAAUUGGUAUA